rnacentral:rRNA from 1 species
AUUGAACGCUAGCGGGAUGCUUUACACAUGCAAGUCGAACGAGUGGCGGACGGGUGAGUAAUAUAUCGGAACGUGCCCAGUAGCGGGGGAUAACUACUGGAAGGAGUGGCUAAUACCGCAUACUUUUGGCUGGGCCGAUUUGGGAUUGGCUAGUUGUUGGGGUAAAGGCUCACCAAGGCAACGAUCCGUAGCGGGUUUGAGAGGACGACCAGCCACACUGGGACUGAGACACGGCCCAGACUCCUACGGGAGGCAGCAGUGGGGAAUUUUGGACAAUGGGGGAAACCCUGAUCCAGCCAUCCCGCGUGUAUGAGAAGGCCUUCGGGUUGUAAAGUACUUUUGGCAGAGAAGCGGUAUCUGCAGAAUAAGCACCGGCUAACUACGUGCCAGCAGCCGCGGUAAUAC